rnacentral:rRNA from 1 species
GAUGAACGCUGGCGGCGUGCCUAACACAUGCAAGUCGAACGAAGCUUGACGGAUGAUUUCUUCGGAAUGAAACCAGAUAUGACUUAGUGGCGGACGGGUGAGUAACACGUGAGCAACCUGCCUUUCAGAGGGGGAUAACGGCUGGAAACGGUCGCUAAUACCGCAUGAUGUGUUCGGAUGGCAUCAUCUGAACAUCAAAGAUUUAUCGCUGAAAGAUGGGCUCGCGUCUGAUUAGAUAGUUGGUGGGGUAACGGCCUACCAAGUCUACGAUCAGUAGCCGGACUGAGAGGUUGAACGGCCACAUUGGGACUGAGAUACGGCCCAGACUCCUACGGGAGGCAGCAGUGGGGAAUAGUGCACAAUGGGGGAAACCCUGAUGCAGCAACGCCGCGUGAAGGAUGACGGUUUUCGGAUUGUAAACUUCUUUUCUUAGUGACGAAGACAGUGACGGUAGCUAAGGAAUAAGCAUCGGCUAACUACGUG